AUUGAACGCUGGCGGCAGGCCUAACACAUGCAAGUCGAGCGGCAGCGGAAAGUAGCUUGCUACUUUGCCGGCGAGCGGCGGACGGGUGAGUAAUGUCUGGGAAACUGCCUGAUGGCGGGGGAUAACUACUGGAAACGGUAGCUAAUACCGCAUAACGUCGCAAGACCAAAGAGGGGGACCUUCGGGCCCCUUGCCAUCAGAUGUGCCCAGAUGGGAUUAGCUAGUAGGUGGGGUAACGGCUCACCUAGGCGACGAUCCCUAGCUGGUCUGAGAGGAUGACCAGCCACACUGGAACUGAGACACGGUCCAGACUCCUACGGGAGGCAGCAGUGGGGAAUAUUGCACAAUGGGCGCAAGCCUGAUGCAGCCAUGCCGCGUGUAUGAAGAAGGCCUUCGGGUUGUAAAGUACUUUCAGCGGGGAGGAAGGUGUUGUGGUUAAUAACCACAGCAAUUGACGUUACCCGCAGAAGAAGCACCGGCUAACUCCGUGCCAGCCGCCGCAGUAA
rnacentral:rRNA from 1 species